rnacentral:rRNA from 1 species
AUGCUAGUCGAACGACCAGAACUAUGUCUGGAGUGGCACACUGCUCAGUAACACGUAGCUAACCUACCCUUAGGACGUGGAUACCCCCGAGAAAUUGGGGUUAAUCCGCGAUAGGUGUAAUGUCCUGGAAUGGUAUUACGCCUAAAGGUGUAUCAUACAUGUUUGAUAUACGCCUAAGGAUGGGGCUGCGGCCGAUCAGGCUGUUGGUGAGGUAAUGGCUCACCAAACCUUUGACCGGUACGGGCCAUGAGAGUGGUAGCCCGGAGAUGGACACUGAGACAAGGGUCCAGGCCCUAAGGGGCGCGGCAACCGCGAAACCUCCACAAUGCACUCACGUGCGAUGGGGCUAUCUCGAGUGCCACCUGAUGAAGGUGGCUUUUCCUAGGUCUUCAAAGCCUUGGGAAUAAGAGGGGGGCAAGACUGGUGUCAGCCGCCGCGGUAACACCAGCCCCUCGAGUGGUGGGGAUGAUUAUUUGGCCUAAAGCGUCCGUAGCCGGCCGAGCAAGUCUUCCGUUAAAUCCAGCGUCUCAAGCGUUGACUGCGGGAGAUACUACACGGCUAGAGAGUGGGAGAGGUCAGCGGUAUUCUGGGGGUAGGGGCGAAAUCCUUUGAUCCCCGGAGGACCACCAGUGGCGAAGGCUGCUGACUAGAACACGUCUGACGGUCAGGGACGAAAGCUGGGGUAGCGAACCGGAUUAGAUACCCGGGUAGUCCCAGCCGUAAACGAUGCAUGCUAGGUGUUGGGUUGGCCACGAGCCACCCCAGUGCCGCAGGGAAGCCGUUAAGCAUGCCGCCUGGGAAGUACGAUCGCAAGAUUGAAACUUAAAGGAAUUGGCGGGGGAGCACCACCAGGCGUGAAGCCUGCGGUUUAAUUGGAGUCAACGCCGGGAACCUUACCGGGAGCGACAGCAGAAUGAAGGCCAGAUUGAAGAUCUUGCCAGACGAGCUGAGAGGAGCUGCAUGGCCGUCGCCAGUUCGUGCCGUGAGGUGUUCUCUUAAGUGAGAUAACGAACGAGACCCGUGCCACAUGUUGCCACCAGUAUCUAAAGGAUAGCUGAGCACUCUUGUGGGACCGCAGCCGAUAAGGCUGAGGAAGGUACGGGCAACGGCAGGUCAGUAUGCCCCGAAUCUCCCGGGCCACACGCGGGCUGCAAUGGUACAGACAGAGGGCUGCCACCCCGAAAGGGGGAGCCAAUCCCUAAACUGUACCUCAGUUGGGAUCGAGGGUUGCAACCCACCCUCGUGAACAUGGAAUGCCUAGUAACCGCCAGUCAUCAUCUGGCGGUGAAUACGUCCCUGCUCCUUGCACACACUGCCCGUCGAACCACCCGAAUGAGGUUUGGGUGAGGAAUGGUCGAAUGUUGGCCGUUUCGAACCUGGGCCUCGUAAGGAGGGUUAAGUCGUAACAAGGUG